rnacentral:misc_RNA from 1 species
UGAAAGGCGAAACGUAAUGUGAAUCGCAACUAACAGUGAAUCAUCGAAUCUUUGAACGCAGACCGCACUCCUGACAUGCCUUUUGGGGCAGUGUUGGAGAGUAUCUACUUAUGAGUGUCAGCCAAUGAUUUUUUUGGUCUACGGGGGAAGUAGUUUCAACUGCUCUAACUUGUGGAUACACACUGUCCCAGGACAAUCACAUGAAGCUGACUGUGUCUGGCCUCAUAUGUGGAAGGUUACCCGCUGGAUUUAA